GACUUUGGGUUCUUUCUUCUAAUGAAACAAAGGGGCUCCAAGUGACAGGGCCAAGGCUAUGGAGUGACAUUUCACCCUUACCCUACGGCCCCACAUUGCUCCUCAGCCAUCUGAGCCCCCAAAGAAAUGGUGACAGUACCCCUGUCACCCAUGGAAGACUAGAGAGGCACCUUGCUUAUUCAGAGCAUGAUUGCCCCAGACCAGAAAGAAGUGGAAGAAACAGACCCUCCAAAGAAGAUGAGAAGAAAGAAGGGGGCCCGCGGAGAGUGCAGUCUGCUGAUGUCCUGAUGAUAUCAGCAGCAGAGAGAGCAUUGUCACAGUGAACAGUCUUGGUUCCCAGUGUGAAGACACAGGACGAGUCUGGAGUGCAUUAGAGAAGCCAGGAGAAGUCGCUCCUUGUGAUGCUGAAGUCAGGGAAGAAGUGAAGACCGUGGGUGGAAAUGAGAAGCAUUCAACCAUAAAUUAACGUAAACCCGGGGUCAUCCCACAUACAGCCCUGGCAAUAAGGGAAUUCACAAUGUAGAAGAAGAAGUGUGUCAGGCAUUAAACACCAGGUCAGGCUGCAGAGAAAUCCAGACACCAGGAAAAUUUCUCAUGGGAAAUCUACUGUCUGCCCUCCACAGGGUGUGAGUCUUGGCCUUCAGAACAAGCUAUCACGGUUGUGGUGACCUUUGGUGUUCUCUAAGCUAUCUGAGGUCACAGGUUCAAUGUUACCUUUGGGUUUCUACAUGCAGGUGACUACAAUGAGCCUCUGGAGCCGCCUUCUCUUCAGGAAGUAGCUUAGCAAAUGGAAGACCCUUCCCCAGUAAAGAUGUCUUUGAACUUAUGAAUAAAUCGAUUGCCACAUCUUCCCUGAAGCCUGGGACUCUAAGUUGACUUUGCCACUCGCUUCUAAAGCUUGCACCCAAGAGAGGGAAACUAACAAACUUCACUCCUUUGCUUACUUCACGGCUGAACAAUAAAUAUUUGGGCAAGCCCUGGGAACUCUGGAAAGAGAAACAACUCAGCUCUCCUCCAUGAGUCUCACCUGUCUCUCAGAUCAAAGUAUCACAGACACAGAGAGAGGGACCCUUCUCUCUAGGGACCUGUUCACAUGCCUCUCUCCACAGCACAUGGAGGCUUUGCUUCUGAGAGCUUGGGUGGCCAGGUGAGCAGCUGCUGUUCAGCACCUCUAUGAAGACACAGUGGCUGGAACUCUGAUAGCAGGAGCUUAAGGAGACAGAUUAAGGACCUUUUUGCAGGAGCUGGCUGCUUGCGAGUUUUCCUUACUUCUUGUCCCCCCUUUUUUAUCCCUCGUGCUUUCGAGUAUUUGGUGGUGAUCGUGAAAAUUGGCACUCAUUUACAGAAAUGCCCCUUGGGGACUUCAGGUAUUGCAACUGGAUAAAACAUAUAUUGGCUUCAGAAUGGAGAGGAAAGCCCUUUAUUCAGUACACAUAGAUGGGUAAACGCUAGCAUGUAUCCGAUGCCUUAAACCAUGUUUGUUCUCAGUCCCUGGGAUGCCAGUGUUCAAACUUCGGAUGUAAUUAGGACGCUGUGCAAGGAUGUGUUUUCAAGGAUGCUAACUAUAGCUGCUCUGUCUGACUGUUAAACUGAGAAACUGUCUAGAUGUUCAAUAACUGGGAUUGAUCGAAUGAAUGAAGGCACAGAAAUAUAAUAAAGCACAUAUAAUUGUAAAA
rnacentral:lncRNA from 1 species